ensembl:scaRNA
GCUGGAAGCUGCAAUAUUCUGUGUGUAGUUUGAGUGUCUGCCCACUGUAGCAAGCUUCCGAUAGCAAUGUUUUGGAGAUCUCUGUCUGGCUUUGCUUAGGGCGUGCUUAGCCGGAUCGUUCCUCUCCAUACAAG